AUGCAAGCAGACGAAGCAACUAUAUCACAGUCAUCCGUGUGCAGAAUCAUCAAAGAUUUUUCUGAGGCAAUAGCAAGGAGUAACAGUCAAUGCAGAUUCCGAUGACGAGAAAUUCAAACCACCCAGCGACAAUUUGAUGAUUGCUACAGGUUUCCAAGAGUCAUAGGUGCUAUCGAUUGGGGCCAAUCCAGGCCAUGUCUGCAUCAGGAGUCCUGAUGGGGAACAAGCCCUGUACUUAGCAGGAAGAACAGGUCUUCUGUAAAUGUAUAGGUAUCCGUUGCUCCCCUCUUUGAUGAAUUCCUGCCUGCAUUCUGUUGUCAAUAGAAAAGGACGGUGUGCUACGGGUAUAAGCAUUCCAUUGGAUUAUCUGUGCAUGAAAGUGGACACUUGUGAUAAAAAAUGGUAGCUUGGUUGUAGUGGCGUACCUAGGAUUUUCCACAGGGAGGGCAAAACCGUUCGGCCGAAAAA